AUGCUCUGGUUUCUCUUCAGAUUGUAUAAAUCUUUCACCUUUUACUAAAGAUUUCCAUGGAGAGGAACAACUCUUGAGUUUUAAGCUAAUUUUUUGAGGGCUUGCUUUCUAGCAAGGCU
rnacentral:snRNA from 1 species